AUCAAUUACCUUUAUUAAAACAUAUGAAACAUCACACCACAUGGAAAUUGAAAGCCAAAACACAAGGCCCAGAUAGUACAAUAAACAACUCAAAACCAAGCAAUCUCCUUUCUAAACUAUGCACUCUCUACUCUAUCCCAAGCCACUUCUUUAGCUCUAAAACAAAGCCGUAGACUUUUUUGUGGUCAGGAAGAGAGUUGAGCACGCUCUCUUUCUCUAAGCACCUUUUAGCCCAUUGAAUAAGCUUAGGACACUCAGCCUCUAUGCUGAAAUUUCCAGAGACCUCAUAAGUAUAAAACCAGCUAUAGAAAGGCACAAGCACAACAUCUACAUAACCAAAACUUUCACCACCAAAGUAUGGCUUCUCUCCAAGUUCUCCUUCCAUAAGCUUCAGUGACUCUAUGAAUUCUUUCUUAGCUGCCUCCUGCUCUUCUCCUUUUUUGGCCCAUAUAUUCCUUCCAGGAUCAUGUAUCUUCUUAUCAACAAAAUCAGCCCAGAAUUUAGCUUGAGCUCUCAGGUAAGGAUCAGAGGGAAGCAAUGGAACUUUGUCCUUCCAGACUUCAUCAAUGUAUUGAACAGCAAUAAGAGACUCAACAACUGGUUUGCCAUUGUGGAUGAGAACUGGGAUCAUCUUAUGAACUGGGUUCAUCUGCAAGAGCAGAGCACUCUUGUUCUGCAAAUCCUCUUCCUUGUACUCAUACUUGAUGCCCUUCUCAGCCAAAGCAAUCCUAAUUCUCAUACCAAAAGGGCUUGGCCAGCAAUCCAACAGAACCACCUCUGCAUUAGCCAUUCUUGAAAUGAUUGUUAAAAGAUCAAAGCUUUAAGAACCGAAAAAUUAGAAUAAGCUUUAAGAACCGAAAAAUUAGAAUAAGCUUUAAGAUUAAUAAGCUUGAAGGUGUUUGAUGCAAAUAUGGGCUCCCAAGUUACAUAUUUAUAGAGGAUUGUUG
rnacentral:misc_RNA from 1 species